AUAAUGCUCUCCAGUUCCAUCCAUGCUGUUGGAAAGGGACACAAUUUGGAAACUGGCAUUAUUAAUCAAGGCUUUGACUAAAUAUCAUGUUUGAAAGAGCCAUACAGAGACUCAGAUGUCACCAGAAAGCUUUAAGGCCUUAAGAUUGGCUUUGAAAGCCAGUAAGCACCCCUUGGAAAACAGCCUGGUACCUCGCUUACUCAAGUCACAGCAGUCUUUCAGGGCUGGGAAUUACUGGAAGCAAGAACAAAACUAACAGCUCCCUCCAGCCACAGACAGAAGAUAACAUUGGAAUAAACUACAGCCCGUGUUACAACACCCCAGCA